CCGCCCCCGUCCCCGUCCCGCCCGCCUUUCUCUGAGGGGACGGGCGGGGUACGCUUUUCGUACGCUAGUUCAAAUACGCGGGUUCCAAACGUUAUGAAACAUCCCUUGUUCACCACGGGGCGUUGCAAAUUUUUCCUUAAAAUUCUACUGAAGAACUCAACAACGAGCAAAACACAACAGCUUGAGAACUUCAGGCCGAGGUACCUUACAGUACCGGCAAAACACUGCCACAAAAUACAGUUUUAAGUGAUGCUUUUUAUCACACACUUGUGCCCGGAAGACCUUCUUCCUAUUCUUUCUGACCACUAAAGGGAAGGCUCAUUAUAUUUUAAAAAUACGUCAUAACGUGAGAGGUUCACACUUUCUCUCCCUGAAAAUAGUACAGAUCACUUUGUGAAGAGGGUGGCAGCUCAGUAUGUAUCAGAUCAGAGUUGCAGCUUUUCCCCUAUGAAAUUGAAACUUGUAUACUGCUGGGGGAAGUGGUAACACGUCUUCCCUGUCUCUCACCUGUGCCAUACAAAAGGAUAUACUUCAGCAACACCGUUCUGCUGCUAGCCACGCUGGAACUUACGGCACCUUUAAGCUCGAGUCUCAAUAAGGAGACCAUGUGGUGGAAGUGCUUAAAUGGUUUAUCAAGUAACUGGAACUGAUGCCAUGUGCUGCCUCCUAAGAAUUUCUUCUAAAGAAGGGAGAGUGCAUGACUGUCUGAGGAUAAACCCAUUGGUAACUCUGACUGUGUCUAUGCAGCACAGGCAUCAAGCACCUGUGAAUAACCAUAUUACUGCAAGUGUUUCGCUUAUAGACAUGGCUAUUUUCAGCAUUUCCUCAGCAUCUUGGAGGCAUCUAGACACCAGGGUAGAAACAAUAAUGAUGACUUAAACAUGCCAGAGUUCUUCUAGAAACACAAUCAAUGGAAGAAAAAAAGCAAUGGAUACAGUAGGAAGUUUGGAAUCUCGCAUUAUUCUUAACAUUGAGCAUUCAAGAUGUACUCCUAAAUGUUAGGGGUAGCUCAAGAAAGAAGCCUCAGUGGAAAAGCCCAUAUGCAAGUACAGUCUUAAGAUUUACACUUCUUAGGUAAUUUUGUCUCAUUUAACUCAAAAUUACACACAUCAAGAACUACAGCUGAAUGAAAAACACUGAAAAUUAAAUCCAAAUCAUAUGGACUUUUUUUUUAAAUCCAUGAACUACAAGAUAAUUCAGGAUCACUGAAACAAUUUUUCCAUAUCAAUCCACAAUGUGAAAAAACCAAAACAGACAAGGCCUUCUCCAAAAGUAUGUUCUGUCUACCUGGGCCCAGAAAGUUCCAUUGCUAUCUAUAUUGGGAAAGCCUCAUUACACACAUCAGGGUAACAUUUUCCAUCUUUCCAUUUCUAUAUGGGCUAUCAGGUACCAGACAGGGAAGGUACCAUGCUCCACGGUCAGCCAGUAACUACACAAAAAGAAGAGAUCUGCCUGAUUCAAGGCUUGGCAAACACAGA